AACGAACGCUGGCGGCAUGCCUAACACAUGCAAGUCGAACGAGACCUUCGGGUCUAGUUGCGCACGGGUGCGUAACGCGUGGGAACCUGCCCGUAGGUUCGGAAUAACUCCCCGAAAGGGGUGCUAAUACCGGAUAAUGUCUUCUGACCAAAGAUUUAUCGACUUUGUAUGGGCCCGCGUUGGAUUAGCUAGUUGGUAGGGUAAAAGCCUAUCACGGCGACGAUCCAUAGCUGGUCUGAGAGGAAGAUCAGCCACACUGGGACUGGGAAACGGUCGAGACUCUUACGCGAGGCAGCAGUGGGGAAUAUUGGAAAAUGGGGGAAAGCAUGAUCCAGCAAGGCCGGGUGAGUGAUGAAGGCCUUAGGGUUGUAAAGCUCUUUUACCCGGGAUGAUAAUGACAGUACCGGGAGAAUAAGCUCCGGCUAACUCCGUG
rnacentral:rRNA from 1 species